rnacentral:rRNA from 1 species
GACGAACGCUGGCGGCGUGCUUAACACAUGCAAGUCGAACGAAUAGCGAUGGAAACUUGCUUCUAUCACUCUUCGUGGCGAACGGGUGAGUAACGCGUAAUCAACCUGCCCUUCAGUGGGGGACAACAGUUGGAAACGACUGCUAAUACCUCAUACGAUCUGACCUCGUCAUCGAUGAGAGAUGAAAGGUGGCCUCUACAUGUAACCUAUCACUAACGGCGGGGAUUGCGUCUGAUUAGCUAGUUGGUUGUGUAACGGCCCACCCAGGGGAUGCUCAGUAGCCGGUCUGAGGAGGGGAACCGGCACAACGGGAAUGGGACACGGCCCAGGCUUCCAACGGAGGCAACAGUUGGGAAUCUUUCGCAAAGGAUGAAGGUCCGAAGGAGGCACGACGCGUGGGUGAUGAAUGGUCUCGGGUUGUAAAGAUCUGUUUAUCGGGACGAAAGGACUUUUUGAGAAUAGGGACAAGGAUUGACGGUACCGGAACAGAAAGCCACGGCUAACUACGUG